UACGAGUGCUCCAAGCGUUAUCCGGAAUCAUUGGGCGUAAAGGGUGUGUAGGUGGUUGUGUUAGUCUUCUGUUAAAUUCUUCGGCUUAACCGGGGGCAUGCAGGGGAAACGGCACAACUAGAGGAUGCGAGAGGUAAAUGGAACUCAUGGAGUAGGGGUGAAAUCCGUUGAUAUCAUGGGGAACACCAAAAGCGAAGGCAAUUUACUGGCGCACUCCUGACACUGAGACACGAAAGCGUAGGUAGCGAAUGGG
rnacentral:rRNA from 1 species